AAUAUUAGGAGAUGGGACACAAUAAGUGGGUAGCUUCUCGUGGGUCUUUCAGCUCGCGCCACCAUUUCAUCUCUCCCUCUCCUUUCCGUCUCUUGUUCCCGAGAGGAAAGAAAACCCUAGAUCGUUGCUCCGUCUCUCUCGUUCUCAUCUGUAAAAAGUUGAGGAAAAAUAUCAGCUAUCUUUUAAGAUCGCUGCUACUCCCUCUCCCUCUUGCACCUCAUCUUAAGAUUUGGGGGAAAAAACACUAGGUCUCCUUAUGUUCCUAAAGAUCUCUCUUUUCAAGCGAAUCGGAGUUCGGAUUUGUGCUUUUUCCGAACCUGGUGGUUCCUGUUGUUGAAAUCAAAGCAAAUAGGAAGAUGGAUAAUGUUGAGGAGGAGAUGAUGAUGAGGAUUGUAUCUGGGGUGCUAUGACGGUGUUACUAAUGAUGGUUACUUUUAUAAAGAGAUUACAAUCUAGACAAAGGUGUAUCACUCAUGUACCUAGAUUAGAAAAGAUAGUGAAUUGAAGGUACAAAUUUGCACAAUUGUCUAGGACAUUCAAAGGUUAUUCUACUAGUUGUAAAGACUAUGUAAGAAUGCGUAAAGUUACAUUUGACAAGCUUAUAACUUUGAUGAGGAUAGAUGUCCAACUUAAAGACUCUAGGCACAUUAUGGUUGGAGAACAACUUGUAAUAUCCUUGAAUAAAUUGGGUCAUAAAACUAAAAAUAGGGUACUAAGAUCUAACUUCAUUUGGUCGGGAGAAACAAUUAGUAGAUACUUCAAUAAGGCUUUGUACGCCAUUUGUCAAUUGCGUGUCCGUUACGUUCGACAAGCACCAAAUCAAGUGCCAUCAGAGAUUGCCAACAACCCUCGAUAUUAUCCUUACUUCAAGAUGGAACACACAUUGAUGCUAUGCUACCUGGUAAUCUUGUAGCACAUUUUAGAAGUUGCAAAGGGGUGACACAGAAUGUUCUUGUGGCUUGCACCCCAAACAAAUUAUUCACAUACAUGCUAGCAGGAUGAGAGAGCUCAGCUAACGAUUAUAGAGUCCUUCAAGUGCACUUUCAAGACCACAACCUCAUGGAUU